rnacentral:rRNA from 1 species
GACGAACGCUGGCGGCAUGCCUAACACAUGCAAGUCGAACGGUAAGGCUUCCUUCGGGAAGUACAUGAGUGGCGAACGGGGGAGUAACACGUGGGUAACCUACCCUUGACUGGGGGAUAACCGAGGGAAACUUCGGCUAAUACCGCAUAACGUGCAUUGCCUCAAGGUGGUGUACCAAAGCUCCGGCGGUUAAGGAUGGGCGCGCGGCGGUUUAGCUUGUUGGUGAGGUAACGGCUUCCCAAGGCGACGAUCUGUAGCUGGUCUGAGAGGACGAUCGGCGACACUGGGACUGAGACACGGUCCAUACUCUUCCGGGAGUCAGCAGUGGGGAAUCUGGCGCAAUGGGCGAAAGCCUGACGCAGCAAGGCCGCGUGAGGGAAGACGGCCUUAGGGUUGUAAACCUCUUUCAGCAGGGACGAACACAGGCGGUACCUGCAGAAGAAGCCCCGGCUAACUACGUGCCAGCAGCCGCCGUAA